rnacentral:misc_RNA from 1 species
UUGAAAUUCUGCAUUGUAAAUUUGUACACGCAUUUACCAACUUCUUUCAUUCCAUUGGAAUUGGUGAAAAACAUGAGAAGAGCUCUUGGUUUGCUGAGAUCGCUUGAAACUUUGUUGCUUAGAGUCAACAUUGCCAAUGAAGGAUUAAAGCAGGUUCUCAAGGAACAUGAGGAUGUAGGAAGCAGAAUUGAUAACCAUAUGAAGUUGAGAAACACAAUGAAAGAAUGUCUCAAGACAAUAAAAUUACUUCCUCCAAAUUUCCCUGUUCCAAAUUUUGCCAAUACUUAUGCGAUAAGAGAAUUUUGCUUGCAGAAUGCAUCCCUUCUUUUCUGUACUACAUCAAGCUCUGUUAAAUUGCACACAGAAGGAAUGAAACCUCUGCAUUUCCUGGUUAUUGAUGAAGCUGCACAGCUUAAAGAAUGUGAAUCAACCAUUCCCUUAAAACUCUCUGGCCUUCACCAUGCUAUUCUUGUAGGAGAUGAAAGGCAAUUGCCUGCAAUGGUUAAUAGCAAGAUUUCUGAGAAGGCUGGAUUUGGAAGAAGUUUGUUUGAGAGGCUUGUAAAGUUGGGAUACAAGAAGCACCUCCUCAACAUUCAAUAUAGAAUGCAUCCAUCCAUAAGCUUAUUCCCAAAUAGGGAGUUCUACGGCAAUCAGAUUUUGGAUGCUCCAAAUGUCAAAGAAAUAAGCCAUAAGAGAUGCUUCCUUAAGGGAAAUAUUUAUGGUUCCUAUUCUUUUGUAAAUAUAAUUCAUGGGAAAGAGAAAUUUGGUGAGUUACAGAGUUUGAAAAAUAUGGUUGAAGUUGCAGUGAUUGCUGACAUAGUUGCAAAUCUGUUUGAAGAAUUCAUUGGCUCAAAGAAGAAGGUGAGCAUAGGUAUCAUAUCACCAUAUAAGGCUCAGGUUCUUGCAAUUCAAGAGAAGAUUGUAAAAUACAGUUCAAAUUCUGACGGGGAUUUCUCUGUGAGUGUUCGCUCUAUUGAUGGCUUUCAAGGGGGUGAGGAGGAUGUGAUAAUUUUCUCCACUGUUAGAAAUAACAACAAAGGAUCGGUGGGUUUUCUUUCAAGCUGUCAAAGAGCAAAUGUGGCAUUAACGCGAGCAAGACAUAGCCUUUGGAUAUUGGGAAAUGAAUCAACUUUAAGUAAGAGUGGCUCUAUUUGGAGGAAGCUGGUCAGUGAUGCCAAGGAAAGGGGAUGUUUCUAUAAUGCUAAUGAGGAUAAGAGACUGGCUCAGUCUAUUAUCGCUGCACUGCUAGAGCUUAACAAACUUGAUACUUUACUGCAAAUGGAUUCUGAUUUAUUCAGAAUGGCUAGAUGGAAGGUUUUCUUCAGCGACAAUUUUCGGAGAUCUAUGGCAAAACUUGAGGAUGUUGAAAUUCGUAAGGAGGUGAUUUCUCUCUUAGCAAAGCUUUCAAAUGGUUGGCGUCAAUCUGGGAAGAAGAAAAGAAUGAAAAGCCAAGAUGGGAGUUCUUCUCAAUUGUUAGAGCUAUAUGGGGUUAAUAAGCAGCUAAAUGUUGCUUGGAGUGUGGAUAUUUGGGAAGAGAAUUCAUUUCAGAUUCAAGUCUUGAAGUUUUGGGAUGUUUUGCCUUUAUCUGAUAUUCCAAUGCUAUCAAAGAGUCUUGACAAGUUGUUCAAAAAUUAUACCAAGGAAAAGAUGAACAGCUGCAAAUACAAAUGCAUGGAGAGGAAUUUGGUUGUGCCUAUGAGAUGGCCAGUGAACUCAUCUGGUGUUAAAGGAACUGCUUCUGGAGCUGAUCCUUUGCAGCUGACAAAAUCACUUGAAUCACUCAGUCUAAGAGAUGGAUCAAGUUCUUCCAGCACAGCUCAUAAGCAGAAGUCAGCAGACUUGUGGGGAGCCUAUCAGUAAUCACUCAAGAAGUCUUCCUAUGAACAUUUUUACUGAAGGAAGCUCUCAGUUGGUGUGUAUGUAUGUAUGUAUUUGAAAUUCC